rnacentral:lncRNA from 1 species
GGGGUCAUUAUCGCGACUGUUUUCAAUGGCUACACACGAGAUGUCCUGGAAAGGAGAAUUCCUGCUGUUUGCACUGAGUGAGCUUCUGGGUUCCUGGAGCAGGAGAAAGCCCUGCAUGAACUCAGCUAGAGCUGACUGAGAACAAUUUUGAUCAGCAUGAGACAUAAGGCUGACUUCACCCCGGAAGCCAGUCCAUGAAUGGGCAGUCCUCCCUUCCUACUCCUGCCACGUGAGCUGAAGACAAAACUGAAAGCUGACAACUAAAUGAGGUGACUUGGCUGACUACUGAGACCACAAAGGCUCCACAAUCCUUGGGGCAACCAUGUAUGCUAUUUAUUUUACAUGCAUGUCCACACACAGGGCUCUAUAUAUCUGCUGCUCAAAUGCAAGCCUAAGAUUCUUGUGGAAGCAGAAGAACAGGAGCACACCCAUGAUGAUAAUAGAAAGGUGGCCUCAAAUAAUUUCAAGCUGCUGCUUAAGUAAGAUUGGAAGCACAGAGCCCUGUCCUGGACUGUGAAUUGGGCUGGACACAUUGUAAACACUGAAAAAAUGGCAGUAUCCUCUAAAUCUUCACAAAGCAUGUACACUCAAUUAUGUACACAGUGAGUUCAGAAAGUUUAAAAGAACCUCUAAAGAGUGUACACAGGAUUUAAAUAGUCUCAGGAGCUGCUUUCCUGCUACAGGAGGAAUGUGAUGUUGGCAGAUGUCUGUGCAAGGUGUUGCCACUGUUUCUCUGGAAGGAGUCAGAGGCAUUGGGACAGACUCAGAGGCAACUAACCAUCACAUGCCUUGCUAACCCAUAGCCAUACUGCCAGGUGAAUCCAAGAGACUCAGGGCACAAGGUACCUACCGGCUCAGGGGUAAAGCGCUCCAUCUAAAGGAAGAUUUCUGACUGAAAAAUAUAUUUCAUUAUCUAAUGGUAGAUCAAUCCAUUUUGACACCCUCAG